rnacentral:lncRNA from 1 species
AAAGUAACCUAAAAUAACCCCUGGUGACAUCCUGUUGUACCCACAGAUCAGUCUCAACCAGCUAUCAUCAAAGAAGCUUCCUCCUCCAGUAGAUGGGGAGUAAUGGGGACACCCAUAGCUAGACAACAUGCAGAAGGACCUUGGGACAUUUCGUCCUAAGUAGGAUUUCCUCAUCAAAGCCCUCCCCUCAGGAUUCAGGGAGCUGUAGAGGAGAGGAGGUGGAUGGAUGAGAGUCAGAAGAUGGGAGUCACCGGAAACCGUGUCUUCCAAUCACAGCAGAACUGCCACACCAAAGAACUCAGAUAGUAAUAAUAUGCAUUGGGUCUGCACAGAUCCAAACCAGAUGGGGGUCCCAGCACUAAUAGGACAGGGAAGUGGACAUGAGCUCCCAUCCCCAACCAAGAAGCUGUAUCCAAUUAACAGCAGCUCACCCAAGUCCCACUGGACACCUAAAAAUUUAGGACGGGCUCCAUCUCCAGCUAUGGCCAACAUAAAAGGAACUCAAAGGUAU